UACGGAGGAGGCAAGCGUUAUCCGGAAUUAUUGGGCGUAAAGCGUCCGCAGGCGGCACUUCAAGUCUGUCGUCAAAGACUGGGGCUUAACCCUGGAAAGGCGGUGGAAACUGAAGCGCUAGAGUGCGGUAGGGGUAGAGGGAAUUCCCGGUGUAGCGGUGAAAUGCGUAGAGAUCGGGAAGAACAUCGGUGGCGACAGCGCUCUACUGGACCGCAACUGACACUCAGGGACGAAAGCUAGGGGAGCGAAUGGG
rnacentral:rRNA from 1 species